rfam:Gossypium raimondii Chr11_contig_44, whole genome shotgun sequence.
AUUUCUUUUAACAUAUCAGGAAGUCGAAUUGGUAGUGAAGAAAGAAGCAAGAAGUCGAAAGCCAUCAUUGCCUAUAACCAAAACCCAUAAACCCAUGCCAUGCUUCUGUUUUCAUUGUCAAUUCGAUUUCCUGAUAUGUUAAAAGAAAU